rnacentral:rRNA from 1 species
UACGUAGGGGGCAAGCGUUGUCCGGAAUCAUUGGGCGGAAAGAGCGUGUAGGCGGCCAGAAAAGUCCGCUGUGAAAACUCGAGGCUCAACUUCGAGCUGUCGGUGGAAACUUUCUGGCUAGAGUCCGGAAGAGGAGAAUGGAAUUCCUGGUGUAGCGGUGAAAUGCGCAGAUAUCAGGAAGAACACCCGUGGCGAAGGCGGUUCUCUGGGUUAACACUGACGCUCAUGCACGAAAGCGUGGGGAGCAAACAGG